rnacentral:sRNA from 1 species
GCCGCGAUUGCAGCGGAAAUCCUUUUGUGCUGAGCGAAGCGAAGACCAAAAGAUUGCAGCGGAAAGCGCGAAAU